rfam:Oceanobacillus oncorhynchi strain Oc5 genome assembly, contig: CONTIG000001
UUAAUGCGAUGAUGCGGAAGGUUGUUGGCACACCCGGCCCCUUUGCCAUGGCGGUGUGUUAAGGAAUUUUCGCGGAGAAUGUCUAUAAUAAUAUAGGCGA